rnacentral:rRNA from 1 species
CGUUUGUGACCUGCCCCGAGGAGCGGGACAACCACUGGAAACGGUGGCUAAUACCGGAUGAGGCUGAUAGAGUUAGAGACUAUCAGAGAAAGGACAUUAGUUUGAGAGAAUUGAUGUUCACCUUGGAGGGGCAAGCGGGGCUAUCAGCUAGUUGGUGAGGUAAAGGCUUACCAAGGCGAAGACGGCUAGGGGGCGUGAGAGCGCGACCCCCCACAAUGGGACUGAGACACGGCCCAU